rnacentral:tRNA from 1 species
GCGCCCGUAGCUCAGUGGAUAGAGCAGCGGCCUUCUAAGCCGCUGGUCGCCCGUUCGAAUCGGGCCGGGCGCGCCA